AUGGAACGCUGGCGGCCUUCCUUACACAUGCAAGUCGAACGGCAGCACGGGUGCUUGCACCUGGUGGCGAGUGGCGAACGGGUGAGUAAUACAUCGGAACAUGUCCUGUAGUGGGGGAUAGCCCGGCGAAAGCCGGAUUAAUACCGCAUACGAUCUACGGAUGAAAGCGGGGGACCUUCGGGCCUCGCGCUAUAGGGUUGGCCGAUGGCUGAUUAGCUAGUUGGUGGGGUAAAGGCCUACCAAGGCGACGAUCAGUAGCUGGUCUGAGAGGACGACCAGCCACACUGGGACUGAGACACGGCCCAGACUCCUACGGGAGGCAGCAGUGGGGAAUUUUGGACAAUGGGCGAAAGCCUGAUCCAGCAAUGCCGCGUGUGUGAAGAAGGCCUUCGGGUUGUAAAGCACUUUUGUCCGGAAAGAAAUCCUUGGCCCUAAUACGGUCGGGGGAUGACGGUACCGGAAGAAUAAGCACCGGCUAACUACGUG
rnacentral:rRNA from 1 species